rnacentral:lncRNA from 1 species
CCGAAGUCACGGAAGCCCCGCCUCUAGCUGGGGGUGGGGCCCACGAGACCCCAGGCUUGGAGAGCGGGAAAGACGCCGCUUGGCUGCGGUAAGACUCUCGGCUGUGACACUAGGACGAGGCGGCGGACCCCAGCCACGUGACCCUGCAGACGUGUGCUGCGCACGUGAGGCGCAAACAGGUGUUCCUGCUUAGCAAGCUGCCCCCGCCCCCCACCCCGGACCGGAAGUGGCUGACUCCUCACUCCCCGCCCCCCCGCCGCAUCCCAUUGGCUCAGCUCAGUCACGUGUCUGCCCCAACUGCAAGGGGUGCUGGGAAGGCGCUCUUGGCUGCCCGCGGGUUCGGCAGAGGCUCUCGCGGCCCGUAACACGGGGUGGCGCCCCCAGGCGGCAGCAAAACCGAGGCGCUGUUGCCUCCCUGAACGUGGGGAGAAGGCGGCAGGUGGGCAAGGGCCACAUAUGGCCACCCGGGAUGACCCUGGCCACGGGACUGUCUAGCGAAAUGCCCCAACCCACCUCCUGGAGUUACUCAAGGGGUAGAAAACGUCGUCACGAGUUGAGAAGCGCCUGCUGGAGCCCUAACAGCUGCGUGGCAUCCUUCCUGGACCUCAGUUUGCUCAUCUGGAAAACGCGGAUGAUCCUAGCACCAUCCCCAGAACAAUCCCUUGAGAACCAACCCUCUGAGUCUGGAAUCUCGAAGAAAGAGUUAAAUCCACUCCGGGGCGGUGACAUUUGCAAUGCAUGAAGUUUAAACAUUUUCAAUAAAGAAAAACAAAUCCAGGCCA